UAGAUUGAGGUGAUUACAAGAAAUGUGU
rnacentral:sRNA from 1 species